rnacentral:rRNA from 1 species
UACAGAGGGUGCAAGCGUUGUCCGGAAUCAUUGGGCGUAAAGCGCGCGUAGGCGGCCACUUAAGUCGGAUGUGAAAGCCCCUGGCUCAACUGGGGAAGUGCACCCGAAACUGAAUGGCUUGAGUGCGAAAGAGGGUCGCGGAAUUCCCGGUGUAGAGGUGAAAUUCGUAGAUAUCGGGAGGAACACCGGUGGCGAAGGCGGCAUCCUGGACCGGCAUUGACGCUGAGGCGCGAAAGCUAGGGGAGCAAACGGG